AUGAAGAUGAAGGAUCUCAAAAUAAAGAACUAUCUCUUUCAAGCGAUUGAUCGAACUCUUCUCAACACCAUCCUUAAGAAGGAUACUUAUAAAGAGAUAUGGGAUGCUAUAAAGAAAAAGUUUGAAGGAAAUGCAAGGGUCAAAAGGUCUCAUCUUCAAGCUCUCCGCAGAGAAUUUGAAACUCUUGAGAUGAAAUCCAGUGAAGGUGUAACAGAAUACUUUUCAAGGGUCAUGACAGUGGCCAAUAAAAUGCGAAUUUAUGGGGAGGAGAUGUCAUACGUUAAAGUGGUUGAAAAGAUUCUAUGA